rnacentral:snoRNA from 1 species
UGGUCAAUGAUCAAGACGCAAACUUGUCUUGACGAGAUACGAUUACAAAAAAAUCAUCCUCAUAGAAUUACCCCAUGACCC